rnacentral:lncRNA from 1 species
AUGCCCCCACCCCAGGCGGGAUUGGAGACCGCCGCUUCCGAGCAGCGCCCCACGAGUCCAGCUGGCUUUGUCCUGCCGCUGUCCUUCCAGGAGCAAGCGCCCCCGGCGAAUGUGUCUGCACAAAAGACCCCCAACAUCUGCCCGUCACAGCGUCCUCUCCUUCCGGGAGGGGCCCCGGGGCAACUUCUAGGGGUGGAGAAGGCGCGAGACAAGGGGACCGAGAGGCAACGAGCCGGGGUGUGCGCGGGCCGGGUGCGAAGCUGGGACGAGCGCGCGCGCACGUGCACACCCAGGGGCGCGCGCGGCGCGGGCACGAGGCGAGCUCCCUCGGACCGGAGCUCCAGGGGGCAUCCGAGGACUCCGCUGAGCCGCCGACAGCGCCGCUCUCCGCCGCGGCCGCCCGCUCAACUCCGCCAGCGCUCGGGAGACACGCAACUCCCGGGACCACCUCCCGCGCGCCCCGCCAGACCCCGCGCUCCUCUCCCCGGGACCCCUGCGGCCCCGCCACCCCAUCAGCCGUCCAGAAGAUCCCCCCAGUUACAGCAGGCGGCAGCUGCCCUUUCCCGCUUUCCCGGCUCCGGCGCGGCCGCCGUAGGGGCGCAGACAUCCCCGCGCGCCCCUCUGUCCGCCCCCGACCCGGAGCGGGCAAAGAAACAAACCGAAACUCACCGACCUUUCUCCGCGGCGGGCUUGGGCGCUCGCUACAGAGGCGGCGGCGGCGGCGACAGCAUCGCCAGGUGGUCCCGACGCGCCAGCCCCGCUCAGCCAGACGCGCGCCCCGGGCAGGCGGCCGCCGCUCCUCCAGCCGAGAGCCACGGGGCAGGCGCUGACAGCGCAGCGGCGGAGCCUGCAGCCCCAGCUCCCGGCCCGGCCCUUCGGGCUACACCCCCACCUGCGUGGCCGCCCUCUGCGUUCGCGGUCGGACACCGCCGCCAGGCGCUGGGCACCAAGCGGGAGCUUUUUGUCACUGAGACUCCGGCACCAAAGCGGGUGGGGGGAGAGGCUGGGCUCCGCUCCCCGCGGCACCGCCCUCCCCGGCGGCUCCACCCCCUCCUCCCCGCCCCCAGCCCGGCGGGCCAGGGACGUCUGUACUUCAGUCCCGAAUCGCCCACCUCCCCCGGGGUGAGGGGCUGCCGGCCCUCUCUUGCGCGCUCCCUCGGCUUUGCACCUGGUGCCCACCCUAGGCCAGGAUCUCGACGCCGUCUCUCUACGGUGCAAAAGCAGGACCCGAGCUGGCGGCAGUGUCCUCCCCAACCCGAGUGCCUCAGACGAUCCUGA